rnacentral:rRNA from 1 species
UACGUAGGUGGCAAGCGUUAUCCGGAUUUACUGGGUGUAAAGGGCGUGUAGGCGGGACUGCAAGUCAGAUGUGAAAGUUAUGGGCUCAACCCAUAACCUGCAUUUGAAACUGUAGUUCUUGAGUGAUGGAGAGGCAGGCGGAAUUCCGUGUGUAGCGGUGAAAUGCGUAGAUAUACGGAGGAACACCAGUGGCGAAGGCGGCCUGCUGGACAUUAACUGACGCUGAGGCGCGAAAGCGUGGGGAGCAAACAGG